CCUACGGGUGGCAGCAGUGAGGAAUAUUGGUCAAUGGGCGCAAGCCUGAACCAGCCAAGCAGCGUGAAGGAUGACUGCCCUACGGGUUGUAAGCUUCUUUUAUAAAGGAAUAAAGUGAGGCACGUGUGCCUUUUUGUACGUACUUUAUGAAUAAGGCUCGGCUAACUCCGUGCCAGCAGCCGCGGUAAUACGGAGGAUCCGAGCGUUAUCCGGAUUUAUUGGGUUUAAAGGGAGCGUAGAUGGGUUGUUAAGUCAGAUGUGAAAGUUUGGGGCUCAACCGUGAAAUUGCAAUUGAUACUGGGAGUCUAGAGUACAGUUGAGGUAGGCGGAAUUCGUGGUGUAGCGGUGAAAUGCUUAGAUAUCACGAAGAACACCGAUGGCGAAGGCAGCUUACUAAACUGCAACUGACAUUGAUGCACGAAAGUGUGGGUAGCAAACAGGAUUAGAUACCCCUGUAGUC
rnacentral:rRNA from 1 species